rnacentral:rRNA from 1 species
CGAACGCUGGCGGCAGGCCUAAUACAUGCAAGUCGAACGGCUCUUCGGAGCAGUGGCGGACGGGUGAGUAACGCGUGGAAUGUGCCCUUUGGUACGGAACAACACAGGGAAACUUGUGCUAAUACCGUAUGUGCCCUUCGGGGUAAAGAUUUAUCGCCAUUGGAGCAGCCCGCGUUGGAUUAGGUAGUUGGUGAGGUAAAGGCUCACCAAGCCGACGACCCAUAGCUGGUCUGAGAGGACGACCAGCCACACUGGGACUGAGACACGGCCCAGACUCCUACGGGAGGCAGCAGUAGGGAAUCUUGCGCAAUGGGCGAAAGCCUGACGCAGCCAUGCCGCGUGUAUGAUGAAGGUCUUAGGAUUGUAAAAUACUUUCACCGGGGAAGAUAAUGACGGUACCCGGAGAAGAAGCCCCGGCUAACUUCGUGCCAGCAGCAGCCGCGGUAA